UGUAGGAUUACUGGGUGAAGUGAAACUGAUAACUUUUUGAGAAACUGCCAGAUUGCUUUCUGAAGUUGCAGCCCCAGUUCACAUUCUCCCCAGCAAU
rnacentral:pre_miRNA from 1 species